CAAGUGGACCAUUGCUUUUGCCUGAGGCCUAGUUUGUCUAUGAUGAAGUUCAACCCACCACAGAGGGACUCAGGGGAACUCCACUGUGGGCUCCAGGUCUGUGAUUUAUGUUUUGCCUGUGCUUUUCUCUGCACUGUUGAGAGGGAGGUAGACAUCAGAUGUGUCUAGCUCAAAAGAUAAUGCACAGGACAGAACAAAGGUGGGCAAGAAGAUCUUGUAGGUGCAAACCAAACGCUGAUGAUGAAACAACCAGCAAAGUGAAGCAACUACAACAGCAACAGCAAUCCUCUGGAAUCAGGUCCAAAAGGCAGACCUUGGCAGUGGUAUCCCUGGAGAACACACAUCAGCAUCUAACCCUGGUACGGAAGAAUGUGGGCUUCUUCCUACUCAGAUACAGGCACUUGAAGAAAAACUGCAAUCUGAGAAAUGAAGGAGAACCAUGUGCAGAGGAUUUUGAGAGAUGUGGCUAUAAGGAGGUGGAUAAUAGGAAGAGGCGAACCAUUGGACAACCUUAAGAUUCUUCCUGCAGAUAGGUGUUAGAGUUGGAGUUUUGGCUGCUCAAACUGAAGCAGAAGAUCCUCCACCAAAAUUUCCUUCAAUAGGGGAAUCAUCUUGUGUAGAAGAUAUUAGAGUAAUGAUAGGAAGGAAGGACUGAAUGAGAAUGCGGAAUGAGCUCGGGGAAGUUUUAAGGGGAGAGGAGAUUCUUACACUAGGCCACAGUGCAAUAAAAAGAACCAAGAGUUUAACAGCAUACAUGGUGUACCUACCAAGUACUGGGCACAGUGUUAUUUACAUACUUGGGAACGAGAAGAACAGAUAGGAUCCUGUCGAUAUAAACUUACAAUAGUUGUCUCAUUGAAGAUGCUGCCAGAGUUUCCAUUAGCAAGCAGCUUUAAACAGCUUUCUAAAAUAAGAAAGGGAUAUGGGAUGUAAGAAGCAUGGUGGCAGUCACUGGAAAUGGCAAACAUGGCUAGAGCAAUAUAUGAGGUUCAUGCUGGUGUCAAUUUCAGCACUCAAGCCCUAGAAGCCUAGUAUUUUUUUUUUGCCUUUAGCACCUUGAUAUUAAAAAUAUUCUUGACUCUUCCUUUAAUCCUUUCUCUGAGUAUUCAUAUAGACAUCACUUAGGGCUAUGAGCUCAUAAAUGAAAUAGGAUCCAUGCCUUGAUGAAACUGCAUGGGAGGUAUCCAAGAAAAAUCUGCUCUAGGAAAUGAUUUGGUAAUUCAACAUGCUGGCACUCUUUCUUCUGAACCAGCUUGUGCCAGCUUUGGUGUCAGGGGCCACUGUGGAAAGGGCUGGCUUUCAACUGAGUUACAACAUGGAGUCAUAUUAAUCUUCCCUGGUCAUUAAAGGUCCAGCAGCCUUUUCUACCCAUUUAGAGACUUCACUUUAAUCAUUUAGCCAAAAUCCAAUUUAGGUAAUCCAACCCAGAAUUCUCCAGUAAUUUCACUUGGAUAAGCCAUAGCAUUUUUUUCUUAUCUCUGCCCCCCAAAACUGGCAUCAUGUUAUGUACUACUAAACAUGUUUCACCACAAGCUGGCUGAGGCAGCAGGAAGCACAGUAAUUGUGUUUUGCACUUACCAACACCUUCUAGAAGCCAAGUUUAUAAACCACUUGCCUAUUUGACAAGAAUGAAAAAGGAGGAUCUUUCAUUGCAUCCUUCUUUUAAAAUUUUUUUCUAUUUUUUAAUUUAUCUGACCGCACAGGGUCUUGGUUGCAGCAUGGGAUCUCUUAAUUGCAGCACCCUGAAUCUUCAAUGUUCAUUAUGGCAAGUGGAAUCUUUAGUUGGACUCUAGGAUUUAGUUACCUAAGAACUAGGGAUUGAACCUGGGCCCCUGCAUUGGGAGCUUGGAGUCUUAGCCACUGGAUCACCAGGGAAAUCCCCAUUCCACCCUUCUUUAUGUCCCAUCUUUGAAUUGUAUUUGUCCUAAAGAAUUCCACAGAUAAUGAGUGGGUUUAUAUUAAAGGCAGUUCAUAACAACAUCUUAAUUUCCUUUAGUUAAAACUAAUGUUUUAAAAUUUGGUCUUUCUGUUGCUAGAUGAGGAAAAUUAAGGCCAGACCAUAUUUAGAUCAGUUAUUGUUUGCUUUUUAGAGAUAUCUGUCUUGAAAACAAGUCUUGAAAAUUAAUAUUAAUUUCAAAAGCACUCUUCGUGAAGUAAACACAUUGACUUGUUUGUUUUCUUUUUAAUACAAUUAAAUCCAUAUUUAUGAUCAGUAUCCUUAGUCUCUGGCACCAUCCUGGGCCUUGUUGAGGACAGGCUGAAGAAGUUCAAGGUGCUAUGCUUGCCCCUAAAGGAUCUACACUCUCACUGGGGAGGCUAAACACACAUAAAAUGGUGACGCAGCAGACAGAAUAUGCUAAAACGCUGUGCGUAGAUGUGGUGGAGGAGUCACGC
ensembl:lncRNA